UGGGUAUUGAAGUACUUCACAACGACAUCGCCGAUAGAACAUGCUUUGAUAGUUGAGGGUGAUCAACGCCAUGUCAUCGGCCCCUCCCAGGGUGUGGGUCAAGAAUAUGGAGUUACACUUCAUUUCUACACCUGACUUUAAAAAACUCCUCAUAAUUCUCAGAAUAGAGAAAAAAAAAAGACUCAUCUGGUUACCAGGUCAAAGGUCAUCCUCACAUCGACCACGUUGGUCUAAGAACUACAGGGGCUCUUUAUCUGUUGCCGCCUCCAAACUCUGGAACAAUCUCGUUGUCCAACAUCU